CCUACGGGGGGCGGCAGUGAGGAAUAUUGGUCAAUGGGCGAGAGCCUGAACCAGCCAUGCCGCGUGCAGGAAGACAGUUCUAUGGAUUGUAAACUGCUUUUCUACAAGACGAACCAUAUUGAUUAUUCAGUAUCUGACUGUAUUGUAGGAAUAAGCAUCGGCUAACUCCGUGCCAGCAGCCGCGGUAAUACGGAGGAUGCAAGCGUUAUUCGGAUUUAUUGGGUUUAAAGGGUGCGUAGGCGGAGAGAUAAGUCAGUGGUGAAAUUUUGCAGCUUAACUGUAACAUUGCCAUUGAUACUGUUUUUCUUGAAUACAAUUGAGGUAGGCGGAAUGUGUAGUGUAGCGGUGAAAUGCUUAGAUAUUACACAGAACACCGAUUGCGAAGGCAGCUUACUAAAUUGUGAUUGACGCUGAGGCACGAAAGCGUGGGGAGCGAACAGGAUUAGAUACCCUGGUAGUCCACGCCGUAAACGAUGAUCACUCGUUGUUGGCGAUACACAGUCAGCGACUGAGCGAAAGCAUUAAGUGAUCCACCUGGGGAGUACGUUCGCAAGAAUGAAACUCAAAGGAAUUGACGG
rnacentral:rRNA from 1 species